rnacentral:rRNA from 1 species
UACGUAGGGGCAAGCGUUGUCCGGAAUCAUUGGGCGUAAAGAGCGCGUAGGCGGCCCUGUAAGUCCGCUGUGAAAGUCAAGGGCUCAACCCUUGAAUGCCGGUGGAUACUGCAGGGCUAGAGUCCGGAAGAGGCGAGUGGAAUUCCUGGUGUAGCGGUGAAAUGCGCAGAUAUCAGGAGGAACACCGAUGGCGAAGGCAGCUCGCUGGGACGGUACUGACGCUGAGGCGCGAAGCGUGGGGAGCAAACAGG